UACGUAGGGUGCAGGCGUUAAUCGGAAUUACUGGGCGUAAAGCGUGCGCAGGCGGUUUGCUAAGGCAGGUGUGAAAUCCCCGGGCUUAACCUGGGAACUGCGCUUGUAACUGGCAAGCUAGAGUGUGGCAGAGGGGGGUGGAAUUCCACGUGUAGCAGUGAAAUGCGUAGAGAUGUGGAGGAACACCGAUGGCGAAGGCAGCCCCCUGGGCUAACACUGACGCUCAUGCACGAAAGCGUGGGGAGCAAACAGG
rnacentral:rRNA from 1 species